GACGAACGCUGGCGGUGUGCCUAAUACAUGCAAGUAGGACGCAGUUGCGAACGGGUGAGUAACGCGUAGGUAACUACCUAUUAGAGGGGGAUGACUAUUGGAAACGAUAGCUAAUACCGCAUACUAGUAGAUGGACCUUCGUUGUAUUAGCUAGUAGGUAGGGUAAAGGCCUACCUAGGCAACGAUACAUAGCCGACCGGAGAGGGUGGUGUGCCAAACUGGGACUGGGACACUGCCCAGACUCCUACGGGAGGGAGCAGUAGGGAAUCUUCGGCAAAUGGGGGAACCCUGACCGAGCAACGCCGCGGUAGUGAAGAAGGGUUUCGGGUCGUAAAGCUCUGUUGUUAAGGGAGCGGUACUUAACGAGAAAGGGACGGCUAACUACGUGCCAGCAGCCGCGGUAAUUC
rnacentral:rRNA from 1 species